CUCGGUCCCCUCGGCUCCGGGGGCGCCCGGCUGGGCCCAGCUCCGCGGGCGCGCCCCCGUCACCCCCUCCCAGGCCAGUUCAGGGCAGCGCCAAGGGGCCGCGGGCUCAGGCUGAGGCCUCCUCCUGCCUAGGCGUCUGGCGUCCGUUUGUCUGUCCGAGGCCUCAGCGCAGGUAAAGCGCGGGGCUGGGGGGCGCAGAGCUCCAUUGGGCUGGGAACCAGCGCGUCUCGUGCCCUUGGGGGACCCGCCUGCCCGAGCCGCCUGCUAAGCCUCCCGCUCCCCUCCACGCUGGAGCGCGCGGAGCCCGGUCUGCUCGGAACUCCACUCUGCGGGAGCGGAGGCCGGCGCCAGCCCGGGAAGCCGCGCAGGGGGCGGGAGGCCGAGCGCGAGGCCCUUGGCGCCGGGCCUCCGCGGCCAGGCCGGGCAGCUUACGAUUCUUCAUCAACUCGUAAAAUGAGAUCGCCGCGGAGCUCGAGCCUAUUUGGCGUCUCCGGAGACUAGCAAGACCCUCUGAAAGACACCGCGUCCCCAGGGAUAAUCCCCCGUGUCCGGCAAAGCUGCCCCGCUCGAGCGCGAACCCUGGGACCCAGCGCGGGAGGCAGACCAGCAGCUGGCCGCUGGGCUGUGAACGCCAGGACCGAGCGGAAGCUUCCCGCCCGGCCGCGAUCGGUGCCGCGGCUCUCAGGGAAGUGGCUACGCGCGUCCCUCGGGAAAGCAGGUCCUGCGUAGGAUGCGGGACUGCUGCAUUCUCUGGCGGAAACGAACCCGCCUGGGAGAGAGAAAUGCGACGCCAAGUAGCAGGGCGCCCAGCUGGCCAAUAAAGAGGGACCCGCGCUCGACAAUGUCUGUGUGUGCCAGGCAGACCGAGGGACACCAACCGGGCCCCUCCCCAUUAGGCCGAAGACAUGGUCCUCCCACCUUGGGCCCCAAACAAACUCCCGGGGAGGGUCAACGCAGCCCCCAGAAUCUGCUGGGGUCUUGAGGCGCUGUUCCAGGCCUGGUGAGAGCAGAUUUACUCCAAUUUAUGGGCUGGAACUUUGGGGUCCCCAAAACACCUUUAGAGGGACGCGUUCCCUUUUUCAGUACUUUGUUCGUUCGGGAGUAUAGUUGGAAAUGCUGGCGCUGCCUUUGAUCACAUUAAGAAGCUGUCACUUUCCUUACUUGGGAACAAGAUUUCUCUGAGGACUGGAGAAGGUCAGCCAGGAAGCAGAAUUUUCGAAGGACCCUUUUGGCCCGAGAACUCACAGCGGCGAUCGCCACCAUUUGACCUGGGUGCUUCUGCCUGGGAGCUGGGGAGGUAGCAGAUCUGGUGCCCGGUUCUAGAGUGCUUCUCAGGCCUCUACUAAGCCGCGGGUGCCAGGUGGGGACACAGAGAUGCCCAGGUCUCCCCGGCCGUCCAGCCCCCCCCCCCCUCUGAGCCCUUUGUUUAAAGUUAGCUCAUCCGAGGCGGCCCCUUUGGGACCAUAAGUUUGCCCUCCCUUUGUAACCUAAUUCUUCUCGCCUUUUCCUUAUGGGCAGCUAAUUGGCCCGCGGUGUGGGGCUGGGGGUGGGGUGUCAAGGAAACCCAUUUGCUAAGGGACUACCUUCCAUAGAGAAAUUUAAUUCGCAACCCAGCGGCCUCCCAGCCCCACACUGGCAAUAAACCUUGAGGGGUACGGGGAGGAAGUGGGGUGCCUUAGCAGAUGGGUUCAGAAGUUCCCUUAAAGCCGGGGCAUUAGAUCUCAGGCCAGCAGCCAUCCCUCCGGGGGGGUUCCCAAGGGGGGGACUACUGCUAUAACGGCCCCUCCUGCUCCUUGAGGUUCAAUUCCAGCCCCUUAAAGCAGAAGGCUCCCUCCCUCGGCAUCAGUGCAGGCUCUCCCACCUCAUUACUGUUCUGUGUCUUUGGGAAUCGUAGAGUCUGUGGCCCCCACGUCCUAGGUGUCUCGGCACCCUGGACCCAGGCGCCUCCGAGAUUCUAUAUCGCUUCUGACCCCUACCUUCAAGCCUGGCAGGCUCCCCGCGGAACCCUGCUGAGACCCGGAGACAAUCGGGCCGUGCUUCUCCCUCCUCCACGAACAGCCACGGUUUAUUUGGAGCGGCCGGGGCCGGCGGCCUGACAACUGGUAAAUCCGUUUCGUUAGGCACAAUUUGUCUGCAAUUUGUCAGCCCGGCUGGGAAACGCUCCCCAGACGCCUCGGCUGCCGCACGGGCCCUACCUGGUUCUCGAAUCCUGCCUGCUCAUAAACGAAUCCUAGCACGGGGUGCCUGCGUAGACCUGGAGCUCACCACCAGAUGUUCCCGACCUCGGGAGAGGAGGCUUUUUCCAAAACAACGAAUUUCCUUCCUUGUUUUCCGGUAAAGGAGCGUUCGCCACACACGGGGUCCCUGAACGCGGGGCCUUUCCCCUCGUGGUUGGAGCAACGCGGAGUUCAAGCCUGGCCGCCACAGAAUAAUUUUAAAUGCCCCGUUUUCAGACAGAUCCAGAACGCCGUCUACGCCUACCGGCGGCAGAUCUUCAAGCCCGCGGCGGCCCCAUUCUUAUUGAAAUCCCACUAAACGGAUUCCGACUCCGGCUUGGGGCGGGGGGAGACUUCCAGACCCGGCGCUCUCCCCCACACGCACCCCAGUCACACAGGAUAAAGGGCUGCGGGGCGCAGCGCGCGGGGGCGCAAGCAGGAGCGAGCUGGGUUAAGCCGCGAAAAGCCGGCGCACGGGACCAGCCGGCAGGUGCAGCCGCCGCUCGGCGGCCCGGCUCGGACGCAUCCGCCGCGGUGGCCUGGGGAUUGGGGGCGGCCGAGACAAAGGCCCCAGUUCGGGGGCCGGGAGGCGGGGGUGCUUUGCGAGGCUCUGGGAAUGCCAGGGUCUCGUGGCCUGUGGCUCCGAGAAAUGGGAAGACAAGAGGCCCGAGGCGGGCCUGCUGUGCCCAGGUAACCAAAUACUCCCUCUGGUUAAAGUCCCUAUAACCAGGGUUUCCGGUCUCUGGCAGGGCCAAGGCGAGCCCCAAAGGUAGGGGCCACAGGGCAAACGGACCAAGCGAUUCGGGUGCCAGGCGGGCCGGGCCGGGGGCGGGAAGGGCCGGGCCCAGGGAAGGUGGAAGUGGAAGAAACUCACCGAGCGAGGCGCGGUGGGCGGCGCCCCCGGGCGGACGGGGCCUGGAGUAGAGCUGGGAGCAGGGCGAGGUGCGCGGCAGGCGGGCUCGCGGGACCUGGGCGCGGGGUGGCGGCGCUCACCAGCAGAGCCUGGGCGGCACGCCGAGCGGCCGCAUGGUGUUCAGCGGACCGCUUUUGUCCGCCUGGUGGGCGACGGGGCCCUGCUAGGAUGGAUGUGGCGGCAGGCAAUAGACAGACUUGAGCAGCGAGUCCCGGGGCGACGCUGGCCUCGCUACCUUCCUGGCGCUCACGCUGCCUCUCUCUCCCCCACCGGCCGCAACGCGGCUUUUUAUUUCGACAUCACUUUGCGGGGGGGCAGGGGGUGGCGACGGGGGCGGGAGCGCCGCAGGGGGCAGGAGGGUACCCGGGGCUCUGCACCCGGCCUACCAGGUCCAGCCGCCUGGCCGGCCAAGGGCCGCUAGGCACUCAGGGCGCGCACACCCUGUGCAUCCACACUCCAGGCCGCUCCCACCCUCUCCGGAGCGCACACGCGCGCCCCUGACCUCAGGGAUGCUUGCUCAGAAAGCUUGGGACACGUCUUUACUGAGACUCUCCCCGGGGACCCUCAGGAGCUGUGAGCACACGCACUCACUGAUAAUGGUACACAGACGCCCGCUCCUCUGUCUUCAACCCACUUCCAGGAGUGCUCACACGGACACGCACACAUCCCUGCACAUGUGCACACAGCUGUGGCCGCGAGGACAUCCUCAGACAGACGGCCUGGGUCACACCGACACACAUGGCCAUACAAUCAGAUGCAACUCGGCACUCGGGCUCACACUCAGGACGCCCUCACUGCCAGGCUUGUUUAGCUAAGUGCAGGCGCAGCCCCUCUCCCUGUCCCACCCCCCCUCCAGUUCCUAACGCUGGGGGACCCCCUGAGCACUUUAGAAGUCCACUGUCUGGUGUCCCCCUGGCCCAUCUCCUUGGGGCAGACUCUCACAAUGGGGGAAGCAAGGAAGUGUGCAGAGGGCUUGUUCACAGAAGUGGGAGUCAGGAGGGGGGGAGAAAGUGAGUGUGGGAGUCCUCAUCCCCAGAAGGCCCCUGGGUUUGUGGGCAAAGACAGUCCAGUCCUUGUGCUGCCAAAGUUCUUACUAAGGGAUUCAACCAGUCAGCGUCCCCCCACCCCCACCCCUGAUUCCCAUUCCAGCAGAUCAGGGAGAGUGAAAGUGGCCUGGGGACCUUGAGCCCAGAGGGAAAGUGCUUGGGCUUGGAAGGACUGGGAAAUCUGUGCUCCCGUGCCCAGGUGUGCCCCAGAGGAGUGUUUCUGUCCCCUGGUCUUUGUGACCCCUGCUGUCCAUAGGUCUUUCUCCAAAUCUGGUGGUGACUAUUGCAUUGUGUGUGUGUUCUAUGCAUGUGGCUCAGAGUCUAUGUCCUGUGUGCCCAGGUGUGUCUGUGUGCACUUAGGAGCACACAGGAGUGUCUGCAAAACUGGGUGUAUGAGUAUGUUCAUUUCUUCUUGUGGGUUCCUGAGAGUUUGUGUAUUGGGCAGUAGGUCACAGUGUGGCUAUUUCAUGACCCUGGAAUUUGGCACAAGAGAGUGUGUCUGUGGAAAUGGUUGUGCGUCCCUUUGGCUCUGUGUCUGUGGGGUCAUCAUGUCAGAGACUCAUGUAAUGAGGGGUGGGGAUUUCCAGGUGUUUGCCCAUGUGUCUGUAGCAGUGUGUGGCAUGUCUAUGAAUGGGUGUGUUUUGGAGUGUGUGUUUGCGUGUGUAUGUGCAUGUAUCUAGGCAUGUGUUACUGUGUGUAUUUUUGUUGUUGUUGUUGUUUUGUUUUGUUUUGUUUCUUGAGACAGGGUCUUGAUCUGUUACCCAGACUGAAGUGCAGCGGUUCAAUCAGCGCUUACUGCAGCCUCAACCUCCCAGACUCAAGCCAUCCUCCCACCUCAGCCUCCUGAGUAUCUGGGACCACAGGCAUGUGCCACCGUGCCUGGCUAAUUAUUUUUAUUUUUAUUUUUGUGGAAACACAGUCUCACUAUGUUGCCCAGACUGGUCCCAAACUCCUGGACUAAAGCAAUCCUCCCACCUCGGCCUCCCAAAGUCCUGGGAUUAUAGGCGUGAGCUACUGCGCCUAGCCUGUGUGUUGACUGAUCAUUACCAACAUUUCGAAGUGAGAGAUGUCACAUAAAGAGCGUCAUUUCGAGCUUCUCUUGAAAAGUUGUAAGAGUAAUUUGCCUGUUUCUGGCAAAUCUGAAGAUUGGAAUGCCACACGGCCCAGCCAUUCCUUUUCCAGGCAUAUGAGAAGCCCUCACACAUGAGCAAGAAAGAGAUGUGGCCAAAGACAUUCAUGGAGCCCUGUUUGUUAAAACAGAGAAAAAGAAAUUAAGAAAUACCCAGCCUGGGCAACAUAGGGAGACCCUGUCUCUACUAAAAAUAAAAAUUUAUACUUGGGAGGCUAAGGCAGGAGGAUCACUUGAGCUCAGAAGAUCGAAGCUUGCAAUCAGCUGUGAUCGUGUCACUGCAUGCCAGCCUGGGUGACAGAGAGUGAGACCCUGUAUCAAUAAAGAAAGAAAGAAAGAAAAGAAACAGAAAUAAACUUAGGACACAGCAGACGGCCCAUCCUGAGGGUACCACAUAGCAGAUGCUGGGACCUUUUUUCAGGUGGACGCCACAUGACCUUUCCUUUGCAGGCAUCCAUGCUGAUGUUCACAAGGCACACAGCAUUUCAGCUGAAGAAAGAACUGGCAGGAUUUUCAUCACGAAAGGGCACUGUCUAUCGUUUAUGAAAAUGAAGCAUAUGAAGUAAAAGUUUGGAAACAGAUGGAAUUAAAUCUUCUGACAGAUUUUAAAAUAAGAUCUAAAAAAGAGCAAGACAUGCUCUUGGAUGGGGAAACUUAAUAUCAGAAAAAUGUCAAUUUUCCCAUUUUUUCCAUAUAAAUUUAAUGUAAUUCAAAUUCCAUUACCAACAGGGUGAUUUUUUAAAAAACUAGAUAAAAUGAUCUGAAAGAUUAUGCAGCAGAAUAAAUGCCCAAGAAUUACCAGGGAAGACUGGAAAAAAGACUGCUGUGGGGGUUUUGCCUUCCUGGAAAUAAGACCAUACUGCAAAGUCACUGUAAUCAGAUCAAUAUGGCAUUGGCAGAGGACUAGACAAUGGAAAGGAAUGGAGAAUACAAAAAUAAGUUUCAGGAUAUAUGAGAAUGAGAUAUAUGCCAAAGGUAGUAUUUUGAUUCGGUGGGAGAAGGGCAGACUGUGAAGUAAGUGGUACCAGCCACAACUGAAUAUCCAUCUGGGAUAAAAUAAAAUUGCACUCGUCUUAGAGAUCCAAAUCAACUUCAGAUGGAUUAAAACUUUGAAUGUAAAAAACAUAAAUGACUAACAGUCCUGCAAAAUAUCUUGGAGACAACCUGUGCCAUCUGGAGAGUGGGAAGAGCACAUGCAAAGGCCAAGGGGUGGAGCAGCCCAGCAUGUUCUGGAAAAGGUAGGGCUCCCCAAGGCUGGGAUGAUGGUGGAGACCUGGGUGUGUGGGAGCACAGGGGUGGGGGCCCGUGGGCCAGGAAUGCACAGAGAGGGGCUGGUGCUCUGCCGCAGGCCCAAGCCCCCAAAGCCCGGUCAUUCCCAGCACCAUCUUCACGGGUUUCUGCCCAGGUCUUUCUGCUGCAUCUCUUCCUCCCCCGAUUCCUUAAUCAUUUUUUUUAAAAUCAGUUCAUGUCUUUGUAAACCAAAUUAUUUCUAAAAGGCAAAUUUAUAUUACUGCCGAAAUCAAGGGUCAGUGAGCUAGUUGUGUAUGUUCUGAAUCACAUGGAAAUAAAUGCAUCGAACAUUAAGAAGGAAAGAGUGUCUAGCGUUAGCUACCUUGGUGUGCUGGGCUCAAUGUGCAUUUUGGAAGUUGCCCUGCCACCUUGUGGGCAGGAGGGACUGGAUGAGUAGGGAGUCGGAGUGAGCAUGAAGGUGACCAGAAAGUCCAUUCCUUAGAAAGUGAGGAGGUGGCAGCCAGGGUCCAGGCCUGGGCCCUGCCUGCCCCCUCCUCACACACCAGCCUCCCGUCUGUCAUUCUAGAACCUGACCACUUCCCGCCUCAACAAGCAGCCGGCCUGGUCCUAGCUCUCGCCUGGACUACUGGAAUAGCCUCCUUGCUGGAAGUCCUCAACUUCCCCACUUUCUGUUCAUAGUACAGUGGCCGGCGGGGGCCCGUGAGGAUAGAAGUCAGGCCAGGUGCAGUGGCUCACGCGUGUAGUCCCAGCACUUCAAGAGGCCAAGGUGGGUGGAUUGCUUGAGCCCAGGAGUUCAAGACCAGCCUAGGCAACACAGUUAAACCCCAUCUCUACAGAAGAUACAAAAGUUAGCUAGGCGCAGUGGCGCACGCCUGUAGUCCCAGCUACUUUGAAGACUGAGGCGGGAGGAUCACCUGAACCCAGAAGGUCAUGGCUUCAGUGAGGCUGAUUGUGUCACUGCACUCCAUCCUGGGCAACAGAGUGAGACCCUGUCUCAAACAAAAACAAAAAAAGAUGUAAGUCAAACCUGUCCCAUCUGCGCCACACCCUCCCGCAGCACCCGGGUCCCUCUUGGCCUCUUUGGUCUCAUUCCCUUUGCUUGCUCCACUCCAGCCCCACUGGCUUCCUUCUUGUUUCUCAAACAGCUGGCACACAUCCACCCCAGAACAUUGGCACUAGCUGUCCCUGUACCCAGAUACCACAUGGCUUCCUCAUACUUUGGGCCUGGUCACCUUCUUGGACCACCUCCUGAUGAACUGUGGGUGACAGCUGGAGCACAGGUGGGUUCUGGAAGCCCUGCAGCCUGGGGUCAGGAUGAAGAUUACCCAGGGCCAGCAGGCAAGCCUGAGAGGCCGGUCUCCAGGCUUUGCAGCUCCCGGCAAGAGGUCCCAGAGGUCUUGCCCUUCCAGAGAUGAAUGCUUGAGGCCCAGAACAUGGGGCCAUCCGGAGCCAAGGCCUGGGAUGUUAGAGGAGGGGAACUCGGGACUCCAUGCAAGGACCACGGGUCAGCCCUGUGCCUGUCCAGACCACCUGCAUGGGACACAGCAGGGGCCCAGAACUGGGCAUCCAGUGGAUCACUGCAGCAGCAUCUGUGUGUCCAUAUCCAGGUAGCCGCACCCAGAUUUUCCCUCCAGGGACCACCCCCUCCCACUCUCAGUUCAAGGUGGUCCAUGUGGAGCACCCACCUCUGGCCCAGCCAGUCAGAGCCAUCCUGGCUGAUUGAUUCUGGGCACAUGACUCUGGAGGAUCCAUGGAGAGUCCAACCAACACAGAGCAGCAGAGACAGAGACAGACUGGCUCCCGAGCGUUCAGCCCCAGUGCCGGAAGCCAGCUAGAGCCCUGGCCUUUUCAGUGACAUGAGCCAAUGACAACUCCCAGUUCUCUCCCUCCGGUCAAUCUGAAGCCGGGUUUUUGCCUCUUACAACUGAAAGAGUCCUGGUGGUCACAGGCAUGGCUGAUUAAAGAUGCCCACCAGGUCUUUGUUACACCCUCAUAUACUUGGGGCCUUGAAUGUGGGUGUGCUCUGAGAUGACUUGACCAGGAGAAUACGGUAGCAGUGACACUGCAGUUUCCAGCCCAGGCCUGAAGAGAUGAUUAGCGCCCACUCCUUGCUUCUUGAAAGUCUCUCCUUGGGAGUCCUGGGCUGCUAUGUUAAAAAUCCAACUGCCCUGAGGCCACCAUGAUGUGAGGAGGCUGGAGCCAGGUGGAGAGGCCAUGGUGGCGAAAGAGCUGCCGGACCAGUUCCCAUUGCCCCAGCCCCCAGCCAUCUGAGUCAUCCCCACUGAGGACACAGAUAUCACAGAGCAGAUACGAGCUAUCCCUGCACCGCCCAUCCAGAUUCUUUACCCAGUUUGUGAGAUAUAAUAAUAAUGAACUGUUUUAGGCCACUGAGUUUUGGGGUCAUUUUUAAAGCAGCAAUAGACAGAUGGAACAAUAGUAAUGAGCAAAGGGCCACAUAUACCUAUUGGAUUGGGAAGCAAGACAGAGAUGGGGCUGCCACUGUGCGCAGGAUCGACUCACCUCCUUGGGAAUUCUUAUACACGCCCGUAUGAGUGCAGGAUGCAUGAGUAGGAUAGUGGAGCCGAAAGGGUCUUGAUAGCAGAUGGCCUUGAAUUUGAGUCCCUACUCUGCUGUAAGAUCAGCUCUGAGUCCCAGGGCUAUGUUAUUUCCCCUCCUCGAGCCUCAGUUUCUUCACCUAUCAUAUAAAAAUAUUAGUACUGUGUUGCUAGGAUGAGAUUCAGCUGCACAUAACAAGGAGAUACAAAUUUUUUUUUCUGUCAUGUGAAAAUUCACAGGUAGGCAAUCCAGGGCUACUAUAUCACUCCCUGGUGUCAGAAAGCAAGGUUGGCUUUCGUCGCCUCACAUUCCAAGAUGGCUGUUACAGCCUCACCAUUGUAUCUACAUUCCAGGGAGCAGCAAGGAGGAAGUGAAUAAAGAACAAAAUGUUCACAUCAGCUGUCUCUUAAGGAAGUCCCCUGAAAGCUGACACAUCCACUUGUAUCCCAUUGGCUAAAGCACAGUCACAUGACCAUAUCUAGCUGCAAAGGAGGCUAGGGAAUGUAGUCUUGCUCUGGGAAAUCAUGUGCUCAGCUAAAAUUCUAUGGAGGAAUAAUAGCUUUUGGAAGAUACCUGACAGUCUCUGCCAAAAGUAUCUAUGUCAAGAGUUUAUGUAAUGACUGACGUGAUUUUGAAGAGGUUUUGUUUUGAACCUCUGCUGCAUGCCAGUUUCCACAAAACUAACUGCAAAAGACAUAAUCAGGUCUUUUGUAGGACAUGGCACAGGGGCUGACACAUAGUAGGUGCCCAGUAAAUGAGGCGUCCUUGUUUGCUCUUCUAGCUGCACACCUUGCUGCUCUCCUCAAUGGUGUUUCUCUGCCCCAACCCUCCAAGGAUGAGCUCCCUCCCCAAGAGGAUACCCUGUUUCAUUUUCUUCACAUCAUUUACCAUAACUAUUUGUUUCUUAAUUUGUUCAUCAUCCAUCUCUCUCCACUCUAAUAUACACAACACGAAGAGAGGGAGAGUAUCUCUAGGGUCCCACCAAGGAAAUAGAAGUCACUUGAAAAGUGUAAAGCUUAAUUUAAAAGUUAAAAUUCAGAGAUGUGAUUGUGCAGGUGAUGGAAUUGCUAAGAACAGGGGACAAUGAGGCAGCACAGAAAUUAGGAGCAAGAAGCUGUUACCUCCCCAGGGUUGGAGGGGCAAUGGGAGGAGAUGGCAUUACCAGAGCCCAAGGCCUGGGUGACACAGGGAGACUCAGCAGGCCUGUCCAGUGGGAGCUGUAGCUGUAGGAAAGACAGAGCCACACCAGAGAUGCCACCUGAGAUGAAGAGGAAGGGGGAGAAUACCCUGGCUCCUCCCUUGUUCACUCCAGGGCCUCUCAUUGGCUGAAUCCAGCAGGAAUCCAGCUGGCCUCACACCUUGGGGCUAAGCUCCCCUCCCUGAUGGGUGACACAGAGCCAAGGGAUGGGAUAACAAGAGCUAAGGGCAAACUAGCCCGGGGCUGGCACUGGUGACUUCAUCUGUCUUGUUAUCUUCUGCAUCUGGAGCUUCAAAGGCACAGCCUGGCACACGGUAGGACCUCAAUAAACAGUGGAUGAAUAGAUUGGGGUUCUCAACUCACCUUAGCACCUAUAGAAGCUGUUUAGAGUCCACAAAACAACUCUUGUACCUGUGAGGGCUCCUAGGUGCUAGGCCCACAAAGGGAGGCAUGUUAUGGCCGUGGCAUUCUGCUUGGCCAGGAUCCGAGAGGAGCCUCCCAAUUGGAGGAUUUAGCCCAAGUUGCUUCAUUCCCUGUCCAGUGGAGCCUGGCCUCUCUCUCAGCCUCCAUCAACACCCAGAAUCCUCCAUGAUGAGCUCCUAUCCCACCAGGGCAGAGAGUGGGCAUGUCCUCAUCAGGGAGAGAAAGGACAGAGACAGACAGACAGGAAGAGAGAAACAGCCAUGCAGCCAGGGCUGGGGCUCUGCUUGCCAUUGCCCUCUAUGCACUCUAACUGUGGCAAAACCUGUGCAAAGUACAUGGAUGCUACCAACCACUGGCAAAGGAAUAGGAAGCAUAUUCCUGUGGCCCGGCAAAUGCGUGGGGAUGGCUUCAUCCACAUCCUGCAGGAAGAAAUUAAAUUAAUUGACAGGUCCAAAUGUGAGUGGACAGGUGGGGCAGCAGGAGCUCUGCACGCCACUGGUGGGAGUGUUUUUUGGAAAGUGCACUUUGUAAGAGAAUUUGGCAACACUAACAAGGACGUGUGUACAGGUGAGCUCAGCAGUUCCCUGCACAGGUAAAAUCUCAGCAGCAUCCACUGAUAUAAACACAACCACAGUAACAACGCCUGGGAGCCACCCAGGUCCAUUCACAGGAGAAAGGAUAAAUGAACCAUGUCAUGCCCACACAAUGGAAUACUCGACAGCAAUGAAGACGAACAACAGUGUCACGCAUCAACGCAGAUGUACCUCCCAACAAUACUGUGAGAGAAAAAGGCAAGUCACCAAAGAACACGUAUGUAUGAGGCCAUUCAAAUAGCUCUUCUGGAUUUCACUCCUGGGGAUGUCAAGGACCCACUAGAGUUUCCAAGCCAUGUUCACAUGUCACCUCCUUGACUAAAGGGACAUGACCAAUAAAUGCAAUGUGGGGUCCUGAACUGGAUCCUAGAGCAGGACAGAAAUAGCUAUAAAGGACAUUCUUGGGACAAUUGACGUUUAGAUAUGGAUUGUGGGGUUCGAUCAUAGUAUCAUAUCAAUGCAAAUUGUCCUAGCUCUGAUAAGCAUAUGUGUUUAUGUAAGAGAAUGUCCUUGUUUUUAGGGAACAAACACUGAAAUAUACAAUAGUAGAGAGGCAUCAUGUCUCCACCAUACUCUCAGAUGGUUCAGGAGAAAUAUGCGUGUGUCUCCGUACAUAUUAAUAUAGAGAGAAUGGUACAGCCAGUGGGACAAGUUGUAAGCAAUUGGUGAAUCUAGGUAAAGGGUAUAUGGGAAAUUGCAUCAAAAUUAAAAGUUAUGAACAUGGGGGAGAAAACCCAGUUCUUCUAUAAAAACAGCCUCCAGCCUCUCCCUCCAGCACAACCUGUCCCCACACGUGGGGCACCCGGCACCCAUGCUCUGGCUCUUGUCUCUCUGGGUCUUAGUCCCACUUAGCACCCCACACCCAAAGGUCAUGUUUUCACAGAUGUGUACCCUCAAGACUAAACACACACUUGAGGCAUUCAUGUGACUAUACAUAUUUAUGGAAAAAGAAAAUUCUUGGGCUCACAAAACUGAACGCUCCAGGGUGGACUGUCUCAGGUGGCCUUAAUCGGGGUGCUGACAACAUCCAGACGAGCACGCAGGCUUCUCUCCCUGCCACGGCGGUGCCAUUCUCCAACGGACUCUGCCGCCGUGGCUGCAAGAUGGUGGCAGCAGCUCCAACCCCUGCACCCUUUUGUGGCCAAGUCCAGUGGGAAGAAUGUGAGGUCUUCUUCCAGAAGCUUCUGCAGAUUCUCAUUAGCUUCAGCUGGGUCAUGUGUCUGUCAUCCCUGACCUGGCCUCUGGGGUCAGGAAGGCACCAUGGUCAGACUGGCCAGGCCUGAGCCCCAAGCCCCAAGUCCAACCUCUUCACAAAGCACAGCUGGCUGGGGCAGAGCGGUGCCCCCAGUGGAAAAUCAAGAUGCAGUUUCAGAAGGAUGGAAAUGGAUGCUGGGUGGCGAAACGGCAGAAACCCACCCCGGCCCACGCCCUUGCCUGUCCAAAAUCCAUGCACAUGCUUCUUCCCAUGCUCCCUCUGGGGGAGGUGUGCUAGGCAGCACAGAUGUAUGCACAGCUCCCCACAGAUGCCACCCUCAUCCUUGGAAACUGUCAAUGCCCAUGAAUUUGUUACCUCACGUAGCAAAAGAGACUUUGCAGAUGUAAUUAAGGCUGCUCGUCAGUUGACCUUAAAAUAGGGAGAGUGUCUUGGAUCAUCCACAUGGGCUCAGUGGGUCACACAAGCCCUUAAAAGCAGAGAACUUUCCAUGGCUGGUGGCAGAGGUAGAAAGGACAUUGGAAAGAGACAGCAUGGGGGAAAGGGAGAUUUAAAGCUUGGGAAGGAAGGAUGGAAAGCGCGACUGCUGCUUUGAAAACAAAGGAAGCCUCAGGCCACGUAGCAAAGAAAUGGAGACCCCAGGCCUGCAAUCAUAAGCGACUGAAUUCUGCUCACAACCCUAAUGAGCACCUCCGGGAAAGAGCCCAGCCUGCCAACACCUCGAUUUUGCCUUGUAAGCCCCUAAGCAGAAAAUACAGUUGAGGCACUCUCUGCCCAGACUUGCAGUGCACAGAAACUGUGAUGCUAAAUGGAUGUUGCUUGAAGCUGCUCAGUUGGUGGCACUUUGUUACAGCAGCAAUGGAAAAUGAAUACUGGAGGUAACACUGUCUCUCCCAGUGACAGGUCCGGCUCCAGGAGCUGGACCCCAGUGACCGUGUUACAGUCUAGGCUUAAGGCCCCCCUCACUCCCAACCUCACCUGUGCAGAGAGGGAAGGAAAAGUGCCAUGUCAACCCCCAGUAAGGGAAAGGAGGAUGGGAGACCCCUAGCCUGCAGCACAUCCAAAGCCCUGCUAGAAAAAUACUGAGAAAUGUUAGACAUUGAGCUACCACAGGACCCAGGAUUACAACUCCUGGGUAUCUACCCAAGGCAAAUGAAAACAUGUGUCCCCAGAAAAAUUUGCACACAAUGUUCAUAGCAGCAUUAUUUAUAAUAAUUGAGAAAUGGGAAUAGCCCAAAUGCCCAUCAGCUAAUGAAUAGAUAAACAAAAUAUGGCAUAGCUAUACAAUGGAAUAUUAUAUGGCCCUAAAAAGUAAUGAAGAAGCCAGACAUAAAAGGCUUUGUGUGAUUCCAUUUCCAGACAGAAAGCAGAUUAGUAGUUGCUGCAGGCUGGCGGGAGGGAGGAAUGGAAAGUGGCUGCUAACAGGAACACGGUUUAUUCUGGGGGCAAUGAAAGUGUUCUAAACUUAGAUGUGAUGAUGGAUGUACAACUGCGUGAAUAUACUAAAAAGCAUUGAAUGGCAUUGAAUGGUUCAUCUUAAAUGGGUGAAUUUUAUAGUGCGUGAAUUAUAUAGAUAAAGAUGUAAAAGAUUUGUUUAACAUCAAUAAAGAUGUAAAAAAAAAAAUGUUGAGUUUCUUGGGCAGCCAGUUCAACUGCCCAGCCCUGCCCUCUAGGAGGAAAACGAGUACUCCCUGCCCACCCUUCACCAUUCCCACAUCUGAAGUGGGCAUUGGGGAUCUCAGUUCUCUAGUGGCCAGUUCCUAAUGGUGCAGAUUCUAGACUGCAGAGAUUGCUUGGGCUUGGAAAUAACAUCACAGACUUUUUCAAAAAAAUUUUUGUCUUGUUUUUGUGUUUUGUUUUGCUUUUUGUUUGCUUGUUUGUUUGUUUUUACCAGACUUGAAGUUUUGGGGCAGUACAACUCCAUCAAAAAAAUUUUGACCUCAAGUGAUCUGCCCAUUUCAGCCUCCCAAAGUGCUGGGAUUACAGGCAUGAACCACCGCACCCAGCCUCCAUCAAAAAUGUAUUAGGCAUUUCCCUGUCUUUAUUUUUAAAUAUAUAUAUAUUGUAGUCUGGGCAUGGUGGUUCACACCUGUAAUCCUAGCACUUUGGGAGGCUGAAGAGGGAGGCUUGCUUGAGCCCAGGAGUUCAAGACCAGCCUGGGCAACAUAGCAAGAGCUCUUCUCUACUAAAAAUAAAAAUUAAAAAAAAUUAGCCAGGCUAUGUGGUACAUGCCUGUAGUCCUAGCUACUCAGGAGGCUGAGGCAGGAGGAUUGCUUGAGCCCAAGAGUUCAAGAUUGCAGUGAGCUAUGAGUACACCACUGCACUCCAGUCUGGGCAACAGAGCCAAACACUGUCUCAAA
rnacentral:lncRNA from 1 species